AUGAACGCUAGCGACAGGCUUAACACAUGCAAGUCGAGGGGCAGCACAGGUAGCAAUACCGGGUGGCGACCGGCGCACGGGUGAGUAACGCGUAUGCAACUUACCUAUCAGAGGGGGAUAACCCGGCGAAAGUCGGACUAAUACCGCAUGAAGCAGGGGCCCCGCAUGGGGAUAUUUGCUAAAGAUUCAUCGCUGAUAGAUAGGCAUGCGUUCCAUUAGGCAGUUGGCGGGGUAACGGCCCACCAAACCGACGAUGGAUAGGGGUUCUGAGAGGAAGGUCCCCCACAUUGGUACUGAGACACGGACCAAACUCCUACGGGAGGCAGCAGUGAGGAAUAUUGGUCAAUGGGCGUAAGCCUGAACCAGCCAAGUCGCGUGAGGGAUGAAGGUUCUAUGGAUCGUAAACCUCUUUUAUAAGGGAAUAAAGUGCGGGACGUGUCCCGUUUUGUAUGUACCUUAUGAAUAAGGAUCGGCUAACUCCGUGCCAGCAGCCGCGGUAAUACGGAGGAUCCGAGCGUUAUCCGGAUUUAUUGGGUUUAAAGGGUGCGUAGGCGGCCUUUUAAGUCAGCGGUGAAAGUCUGUGGCUCAACCAUAGAAUUGCCGUUGAAACUGGGAGGCUUGAGUAUGUUUGAGGCAGGCGGAAUGCGUGGUGUAGCGGUGAAAUGCUUAGAUAUCACGCAGAACCCCGAUUGCGAAGGCAGCCUGCCAAGCCAUGACUGACGCUGAUGCACGAAAGCGUGGGGAUCAAACAGGAUUAGAUACCCUGGUAGUCCACGCAGUAAACGAUGAUCACUAGCUGUUUGCGAUACAGUGUAAGCGGCACAGCGAAAGCGUUAAGUGAUCCACCUGGGGAGUACGCCGGCAACGGUGAAACUCAAAGGAAUUGACGGGGGCCCGCACAAGCGGAGGAACAUGUGGUUUAAUUCGAUGAUACGCGAGGAACCUUACCCGGGUUUGAACGCAUUCGGACCGAGGUGGAAACACCUUUUCUAGCAAUAGCCGUUUGCGAGGUGCUGCAUGGUUGUCGUCAGCUCGUGCCGUGAGGUGUCGGCUUAAGUGCCAUAACGAGCGCAACCCUUGCCACUAGUUACUAACAGGUAAAGCUGAGGACUCUGGUGGGACUGCCAGCGUAAGCUGCGAGGAAGGCGGGGAUGACGUCAAAUCAGCACGGCCCUUACAUCCGGGGCGACACACGUGUUACAAUGGCGUGGACAAAGGGAAGCCACCUGGCGACAGGGAGCGAACCCCCAAACCACGUCUCAGUUCGGAUCGGAGUCUGCAACCCGACUCCGUGAAGCUGGAUUCGCUAGUAAUCGCGCAUCAGCCAUGGCGCGGUGAAUACGUUCCCGGGCCUUGUACACACCGCCCGUCAAGCCAUGGGAGCCGGGGGUACCUGAAGUCCGUAACCGCGAGGAUCGGCCUAGGGUAAAACUGGUGACUGGGGCU
rnacentral:rRNA from 1 species